GGGCGAUUAACUCAGCGGUAGAGUGCUACUUUCACAGAGUAGAAGUCACUGGUUCAAACCCAGUAUCGCCCACCA
rnacentral:tRNA from 1 species